AGUUUGAUCCUGGUAGGAUGAACGCUAGCGGCAGGCCUAACACAUGCAAGUCGAGGGGCAGCGCGAUGUAGCAAUACAUUGGCGGCGACCGGCGCACGGGUGCGUAACACGUAUGGAACCUGCCCUGUACUGGGAGAUAACCCGGAGAAAUCCGGACUAAUAUCCCAUAACAACCGAGGUGGCAUCACCUUGGCUUGAAAGCUCCGGCGGUACAGGAUGGCCAUGCGCCCGAUUAGCUAGUUGGUGAGGUAACGGCUCACCAAGGCUACGAUCGGUAGGGGGCCUGAGAGGGUUAUCCCCCACACUGGUACUGAGACACGGACCAGACUCCUACGGGAGGCAGCAGUGAGGAAUAUUGUGCAAUGGAGGCAACUCUGACGCAGCCAUGCCGCGUGCAGGAAGAAGGCGCUACGCGUUGUAAACUGCUUUUAAUCGGGAAGAAACCCCGGGACGUGUCCCGGGUUGACGGUACCGAUGGAAUAAGCACCGGCUAACUUCGUGCCAGCAGCCGCGGUAAUACGAAGGGUGCAAGCGUUAUCCGGAUUCAUUGGGUUUAAAGGGUGCGUAGGCGGGACAGCAAGUCAGCGGUGAAAUCCCGUGGCUCAACCACGGAAUUGCCGUUGAUACUGCUGUUCUUGAGUACGUUUGACGUGGGCGGAAUGUGCCGUGUAGCGGUGAAAUGCUUAGAUAUGGCACAGAACACCGAUAGUGAAGACAGCUCACGAAGACGAAACUGACGCUGAGGCACGAAAGCGUGGGGAUCAAACAGGAUUAGAUACCCUGGUAGUCCACGCCGUAAACGAUGAUCACUCGUGAUCGGGGGAUAUACUGUCGGUCACCUAGCGAAAGCGUUAAGCGAUCCGCCUG
rnacentral:rRNA from 1 species